AAGCUCGUACUCUUUUGCUUAGUAUAAAACUUAGUUUAUAUCUUUGUUUUAGAUUUUCUGUGAACUUAUUCUGUUUGUCAAGUUACUGAGUUAAAUUCUGUUUAUGCUGAUUUAUGUUCUGAACUAACUAAUAGUAAUGAGAAGUUGGUUGAUGAUAGGGAGAUUUGAACAUGAAGUGGCUCAUGCUUGCAGUUAUAGGUAGUCGCUGAUUUUGUUAACGUUCCAAUUGUAACCAGAAAAUCCCAUUCCCUAGGGCACACUAGACCUGUUUUUGACCCAAGUAGUUUUUGUCCCACUCAGGCUAGGCAUGUGGAUUGAACAAAUAACUGAUUUCCCUAUUGUUUUAGUGCCAGUAAUUAAAUGUAUAUGUCUAUUAUGAUGUCACGAACUUACUUACUUCUCCAAUUUCCUCUUAUUCAUGUUUUCAACUGUUAGUAAGGUUGACACCAGCCUAGGAGUUAGUUUCUUCUAUUUGAAUCCCUCCUCUCCAAAUGUGCUGGUGACAUGUGUGUAAACCAGGGAUUAAUGGCUUAUAGAACAUCUAGGGAUUUGGUUAAUGCUUUACAUUUAGUAGCUUGCUUAUGCUCAGUGGUUUAAUAGCUUGUAGAACAUCUGUUGAUCCUGGAGGUUCAGUUAAUGCUUUACACUAAGUAGCUUGCUUAUGUUCAGGGUCAGUUCCAAACGUGUCAGUAAACUCACUUCAUCUCUCUUUUCUUUAUUUUAUCGGCCUCUUGACACUGGGUAGUACCAUAGCAUAUAGCUACUAAUAGCACAUCUCCUAGGUAUUUGCACAUACUGUAAUGGACUUGCUUAUAGAUUCUAUGAAGUAGUAUAACUUGCAUAUUACAGUAUUUUCUCUGAAUUUCUUUUGUGCCCGAGGGUUCUUUCUUUUUCCCAGUUUAAACCUUUUUUGGUAGUUGUUCUUUUUGACCUUUUUCCUACCUGAGUUCUUCUUGCUUCUUUUGAUGGCAGAAUUAGUUUUGGAGUUGGAUAACUGUUGAAUGCUUACAGUAUGUUUCUGAUGAAAGAUAUGGUGAACAUGGAAAGUCAGUAAACAUGGAAUGCUUACAUCCUAAAAAGAAGGUUAAGAGAAUACUUUGGAAGCGGUCCAAGGAGAAAUCGAAUGGGGAAGACUCUGCUGAAAAUGGUACAUCAUUGAUGAAGAUGGAACACAAUGUGAAAAAGAGGCAUCAUUCUGAUUCAAUGACCAGUGGUGUAGACAGGCCUUGCAUGAUGUCACUUCUCCCUCUUCCCAACUUGGAAGAAUGUAACUCGGGGGGCCCUGCUAUCUUGACUGGAACGGCAUGCAAAGGGGUAGCUGGACCACCUGUUGGAGUUGUUGAUAUUGGUGUUAGCAUAUCUGCUUACUAUUUUCGUAUUGCUCUACCUGGAGUCAAGAAAGAUCCUGGUGAGUUCAACUGUGAGAUUGAAAAAGAUGGGAAGGUCCUUAUUCGGGGGGUGACAUCAACUGGUGGAAGAACCAUAUCAAGAUAUUCUCGGGUCUUUGAUAUGAAAAUUCAGCAACAAUGUCAAUCUGGUCCUUUCACCGUCUCCUUUAGUUUGCCCGGGCCUGUCGAUCCGAGGUUGUUUUCACCAAAUUUCAGAUCAGAUGGCAUUUUUGAAGCUGUUGUAAUGAAAUACGAACAGUAGCUAGUUCAUGUAAAAAAACAUUUAAGCCAGAACCCACCACAGAAAGCUGUCUGCUCUUGGAUUUCUUGUUAUGAUUAGUGGUGGGCUGAAGGCUAAUGUGCUGUUUUUACUAAACUUGUAGAUUAUGUAUGGUUCAGACAAUUACAUGUUUUGACAUGUAAAUAGAGCAAGUACAGUUUAAAUUAUUCCCUAUUUCAUCUUGGUCCAAAUGAAGAAAUAAUCCACUUAUGAAGAUCUUCUUUUCAUAAUUGAUACCUAAUUUUUCUGAAGAAAAAAAAAACUAAAAGAGCAGUUUAUAUUGUCCAAGUUUCCUUCUUGAUUUAUUCUGAAGAGGCUAUCUUCUUCAAGAUGUUGUUAGAAGAAAAUAAAUGAAAAGUAGAAAUGAAUUUGCUGUAUGGAGAAAUGCAAAAAUGAAUUUGAGGGGUCCUACUAGAAUUUGUUUUACCUAGAAAAGUAAUAUUGGCAUUUAGUGCUAUUAUGUCAUGUGCAAUGAAAGAUACAUGACAGGUUUAAACAGUCAAAGGGCAGCAGAAAUGUGUGUUUUCAUCUCAAGGUUGAUUUAUAAUGUCAGUCCUAGCUGGAACACCUGCUUUCACAUGCCCUCAUCAGCUGCUGUAAGGGUAAGAGCACACUCACUUGACACUCUGCUUUGUGUGAAUUGUGAAUUCUACUAGGUAUGUUCUGCUCAGCUGCUAUAAGAGUAAGGGCACGCUCACUUGAUACUCUUCUUUGUGUGAAUUCUACUAGGCAAUGUGUCAGUUGAUGUUCUUCCUAAUGGGAAUGUCAAGUUAGAAGGGAUAGUAAGAGCAAGCAGUACGGCGCCAACUAUAUGCAACAGAAGAACUCGACGGAUAUUUCCUCUAGGCCGUCACUUCACCAUCAAUUUCACCUUGCCAGGAACUGCUGAUCCCACGAUUGUAAGGGCCAAGUUAGACACAAAUGGUGUUUUGAAAGGAACCGCGUUUAAACGUUGGAUUGGUAGGUCUGGUUAAAUUGAUGAGCUGCCCGAGUCGUCUGUCUGAUUAAUUGGACAUGGUUAGCUUGUAAUUUUUAAUUAAAACCAUCUUCCUACUCUGGGAACUGAAACUCUGUUCUGUAUUUUCCUUUCUUGCAUCAAUAUCAACUACCUGAUAUUGCAACAUUGUCUAUUAUUCAGCCAGUUUCUGUUGCAUUUUAUAUACUAAACUUUUUUUGUUA